CUGAAGCAAUUCAACUACUAGCUAACCUGCACUCGUCGUAUAUUUAGUAUAUUUAGUUAGAGGCGAUUGUCCCUUAUUCCACUGCUGGUGUUUGAGAAUUUAAUUAAGGAUUACGUAUUUUGUGAACAGAGUGAAGCAUAUUUUGCAUGGUAAAGUUUUAUUAAUAAUUGCCGGCUGAAAGAAGGAAUCCACCAAAUUGAGAAUAUCGUCCGGCUCCAUAUACAGCGUAGCUACUACUUCUCUCCAACCUAACCCAGAAUGUUUGGCCCUUUGUGGCUUUGUCAGAGUCACAAGAAUGGUUUUCGUUAGCUGAUCAUACUUUUUGUGGUUUGCAAGGAUUUGACUGACAGCAGUACUCCCUUUUAUCAACCUAACGUAAGAGCUGUAGCCAUUUUCCUGAAGGUAUGUGACAGUAAACUGGUAUAAACCUGCAAUAGGUGCAGUAAAUUUUCCAGUGCUUGGGUUAUAACCGUUUCCAA